GUUCCAGUGGCCUAGUAGUGGUAAGGCAUCUGACCGGUAACCAGGAGACCCGGGGUUCAAAUCCCGGCUGGGACA
rnacentral:tRNA from 1 species